rnacentral:lncRNA from 1 species
GGGGACACUUCUCCAUUUUGGCUAUAAAACUAACGAGAACCGUGAGAUGAGAGAACAAGAGAGAAAGAAAAAAAAAAAGAAAAGGAUCUAGAGAGAAAAAGGAUUGAUGUUGAGAAGAGACAGGAAAAGGGUUGUGUGAGAUAAGAGAGAGUCACAUCGAAGAGAGCUUUGUUCCAGUACAUGGCAUAUUUGACUAGAUCUGGUACGUGCAUCAAACAGCAAACCUGCACGACUUGAAAAAAUAAAAAAAUAUCAGAAGACCAUAGAAAGGGAAUGCGAGGUGGUGCAACAAGAGAAGAAGACGAAUGACAGCGGCUAGUCGCAUGAUUUCAUAAAUCCAUAGCUCAGUUUGACACAAUUUCAUUAUACCUGUGCUGGAUCUGAG